rnacentral:rRNA from 1 species
CUGCUGCCUUCCGUAGGAGUUUGGGCCGUGUCUCAGUCCCAAUGUGGCCGUUCACCCUCUCAGGCCGGCUACUGAUCGUUGCCUUGGUAGGCCAUUACCCCACCAACUAGCUAAUCAGACGCGGAACCAUCGUAUACCACCAGAGUUUUUCACACCGCUUCAUGCGAAGCUGUGCGCUUAUGCGGUAUUAGCACCUAUUUCUAAUGUUAUCCCCCAGUAUACGGCAGGUUUUCCACGCGUUACUCACCCGUCCGCCA